rnacentral:rRNA from 1 species
AUCAUGGAGAGUUUGAUCCUGGCUCAGAACGAACGCUGGCGGCGCGUCUUAAGCAUGCAAGUCGGGCGGCAAGGGGGAGCAAUCCCCCCUAGAGCGGCGGACUGGUGAGUAACGCGUGGG